CUUCAGCGAGCCUCAAGCUCACUAUCGGAUCGUUUUAGAAACAUCAGUGGCCAACAGAUCGCCAGAUCGUUGAGCUGCAUUGGCGGGAUUUCGCCGUCUUCGUUUCUCUUUCUUCGCGGACGAACACGCGCUGGGCCUGCAAGGGCAGGAUCCAGGGUCCUUAACGGGAUAUGCGUUAGGGGCUUGUAGCUCAGUUGGUUAGAGCGCGCGCUUGAUAAGCGUGAGGUCGGAAGUUCAAGUCUUCCCAGGCCCACCACUUACAUCGAGUGAGCAUUCGUCUUCUGGUUACGGGGCCAUAGCUCAGCUGGGAGAGCGCGUGCUUUGCAAGCAUGAGGUCGUCGGUUCGAUCCCGUCUGGCUCCACCAGAUGGUUUGAUCACCGAGGUCAUGCACCGUCGUCCGCGAAACAUCACUUCGCAUUCACUAGUCUGGAUAGACAGUGAACUGCGUGUUUUCUGACAUCGUAAAGAGGAGAUCGAUCCGAGUUGGGUCGUGCAGCAUAUCGUUGCGCGAGCCUUCAUUAUCUCCGGAUCAUUUUCGGCGCUCGCGUCCGACCGCAAGGUUGGCUCACGAGUUGUAAAAUGAUCCUUUUAGCGAAGCUUGACCGCCUCGCUAUCGGAACGAUCUUACGAAGCAAGCUGGUCUUUCUAGUCAAUGUCCGGCUGCAGAUAGCGUUCAUCGAGGGCGCGUGCCUUAGAGAUUUCGGUCUCUUGGCAGUUCUGCAGACAACAUUCUGCCGAGUGUGUGGACAUUGAUAAUGAGAGC
rnacentral:tRNA from 1 species